GGAUUACACAGAUGUACAAAUGAGAAAUGCUAGGUCACUCCUACUAACACUCUCUUUUAACACAUCCAAUAAAAAUUGACCAUGUGUUCCACUUUUUAAUUUCAAUUAACCUGGAACCUGUUCAACCUGUUUCAAUAAUUUUAUUUAACAGUUGGAAGAGAAUAAGGUUAUGAAAUUGUACGGUAGCUACAAGGUAAAUUUAAAGCCUUAGACGACAAUAAGCACCAUCUCGUCCACUUUUUCAUCGUUAUGUUCUUCUUCUCUUUCUCUCUCCAACUGUUAAAUAAAAUUAUUAAAAACAAAAAUCAGAAUGUUUGGAAACAGGUUGAAUAGGUUUCAGAUUAAUUGAAAUAAAAAAAUGGGACACAUGAUCAAUUUUUAUUUGAUGUGUUAAAAGAGAGGGUUAGUAGGUGUGACCCUGGCAUUUCUCAUGUACAAAUAUAAUAUAGUUGAGUCAAUGUGGUGAACUCCGUUGUAACCUUUGUUUAGAUCAUGAGACACUUGGGUAAAGUGUUUUUUUUUUUCUUUCCAAAAACGAAUACAUGUUUGGUUUAAGAUAGUUUGUUUUAUUUUGUUCGCAAGACAGUGUUUUAUUGUUUCUCAGUCAUAAACACAAAACAAUAAAGUGUUGUGCCAGUUCCAAUGAAUUCCAACAUAUGAGGUGUUAAACAUUUUUUGGUUUGGUUGUAAAAUUAUGUUUCAUCUUCG
rnacentral:lncRNA from 1 species